GGGAGGGGCUAGAAAGUAAUCUUCAUUUGGUUGUCAUAUACAAUUUCACCACUAGAUGGGAGAAAUUAUUAUACAAUGUAACUUUAAAUAUUUGCAGAUGAUGUUUGAAUACUAGGUUGGAAAUAUAU